rnacentral:rRNA from 1 species
ACGUAGGGGGCGAGCGUUGUUCGGAAUUACUGGGCGUAAAGGGCAUGUAGGCGGUCCUGUAAGCCUGACGUGAAAGGCUAUGGCUCAACCAUGGCACUGCGUUGGGAACUGCGGGACUUGAAUCACGGAGGGGGAGCUGGAAUUCCAGGUGUAGGGGUGAAAUCUGUAGAUAUCUGGAAGAACACCGGUGGCGAAGGCGAGCUCCUGGCCGAUGAUUGACGCUGAGGUGCGAAAGUGUGGGGAUCAAACAG